GGGUGUGAAGGCAAUCUGGUGGUGACAUCUGUCACCCUGUGGAUCACCAUUCGGCUUAUCUGGCUGCCCAGACAGGUGUGUCUUUCCUCCCUCACCAUACCACGGGCAUCUCUCUUGAAGCUGAGCUCUCAGUUGAAGAGGAUGAUCUUCCCCAAUAGAGAGAGACCGCUCUUCAGUCAAGGGUGCAUGAGUGGCUGUGCUCCCCUGCUAGAACCUCCAAAACCAGCUCUCAAUGGUUGAGACUUAGUAGGUUUCACACAUAAAGCAUGUGGCAGCAUUU
rnacentral:snRNA from 1 species